CUCACGCCGCGCCCGCUCACGCCGCACCCCCGCUGGCACGCAACUUCCGACUUUCAGACAUGUACGGUUUGUUUACAAGACGCAGAUGGACCAUAUUGCCAUAUUGAGUCAUGGCGGCAACAACUCCCGGGAAGCACCUGUGUGCACUCAGCCUGAGCACAGAGGCUCCAUUUUGGUUCAUUGAGAGGGACAUGGCACGCAUCUGAAAAUGGUGGUGCAUUAGUCUAAUGGAACGGUUCCAGAUUGACGGCCAUGGACAGAGGUUUGCAUACUGGACUAAUGAGGCCAGAGCAUUGCUCCAAGGUUCACUGCAGCCGAUAUACAGGGUCCCAAAGGUCAGCAUGAGGUGAACAUGAGGUUUCGAUUAGAAAAGGAUGACAGGUGCAUCAUAUUGGAGUUACCAACGUGUGUGCUUUCUGAAAUCCUAAAUGAAGUGGUACUACAGGAAGGAGAUAAGGCAUACUUAAGAUUGGCUCUUGUGUGUACCACCUUCAGGGACACUGUGUCCACUGACUCCUUCAGGAGACGGGCACAUUUUCAGUGGCUUGACAGUGUCGCUACAUGGAGCAGGUUUUCUGAGUCCUCAAGAAAAUAAUUCUACACCAUGUACACCGUGGACACCUGUAGUGAAUGUGGAAUGCUUUUCAAAAACUGCACACCUGGAUAUGUUGGAACAGGACAAAGGGGUGUACUUGAAGCAGUUUACUCAGAAGACCCACAUCCAGGUUACGGCGAUCACUUUUGCCGCCAAAUGCAAUAGUGAGAACGGACACGUAUACUAACUGUUGGCAGACAACCCUGAGCCAGCUGGGUGUUUUUCAAGCUGCAGGCCACGGUGACAAUUUGUGGCUGGAAACUUGGGAUUGGAUUUUGAAUUCUCCAGUGUUAUUACAGACUGUUAAUUAAUUGUUAUUGACAAAAAACAGAUGUCAUAUGUUUAAACAACCUUUGGGUGAACUUUUUGUAUAAUUUUAAAAAUGUUAAAACUAACAUCUAUUGAGAGUCUACUUUAUGCUUUUUUGGUUUUAAUAACGUCCUGUUCAAUGUGUAAUAAAAUUCAAAUCCUCUGAA